UCAUGAUCAUGAAUUAGUGAAAGGUCAUUUAAAUUUUAUAAUUAUUGGUUCUCCUUGGACUAUUCAAAUUUAGUGAUUAAACUAAUGGUUAGUUAUUUUGUGUGAUCAGGAAUGGUGGACGCUUAUGGGAAUGAUAGCUUAUGGAACAGGAAAUGACUGCUGUGUGUGCAUUUGUGCUUGUGCUGAAGAGGCAUUUUUUGCUUUAUUAUUGACAACAGAAGAGGGGACAGUGAUGAGGUCAGUUACUGGCAGGGUUAAUGGGCCAGGUAACUGCCCUCUGGACUCCAAACACGUGGUUAUUGGUCAGACUCCUCUAAGGAUAUAAAUUGUGAAGACUUCAGUGUAGCUCUGUGUUCUGCACAACAACAACCACCUGGGAACUGCUGGAGGCUGUUCAGUUUUACAGAUAUAAUGAAGGGUACAUUCAGCGUGUCUGUCAGUCUGUUGCUGCUGUGUGUUUUGUGGGGUGACAGUCAGCCUGUACACACUGCUGCUCACACUGUCAGAGAGAUGAUAGAGCUCCUGAGAGCGAUGACUCCAGUCAAUGAGCAGGAGGAUCAGGACACAGAGCUGAUGGACUCUCCCGAGGUUCUGUGGCCUAAUACUGAGGAUCUGGAGAAAAGAGACCUGCCACGUCUAGGAGUAGCAAUACAUAGGGCUUUACCCUCAAGAGUCCACAGCAGUAAGUCCGUAGAUGCAUCUAGAUAUCGUUUGUCUUCUCCAGCUAAGUGGAUGUCCAGUCUCCAAGGUUGAAGAAUAGUAAUUGUUUGAUUCAUCUGUCUCAAAAAUGCUUGAAGGUUUACACACAACUCUCAUCCGCAUGAAGAACUCAUUGUUAGACAAUAAAUAAAAGGAGUUACAAAAUAUAUACA
ensembl:lncRNA